UACGAAGGGGGCUAGCGUUGCUCGGAAUUACUGGGCGUAAAGGGCUCGUAGGCGGCCAACUAAGUCAGACGUGAAAUCCCUCGGCUUAACCGGGGAACUGCGUCUGAUACUGGAUGGCUUGAGUUUGGGAGAGGGAUGCGGAAUUCCAGGUGUAGCGGUGAAAUGCGUAGAUAUCUGGAGGAACACCGGUGGCGAAGGCGGCAUCCUGGACCAACACUGACGCUGAGUGAGCGAAAGCCAGGGGAGCAAACGGG
rnacentral:rRNA from 1 species